rnacentral:tmRNA from 1 species
GGGGUUGAUUUGGUUUCGACGGGAAUAUAAGAGCAUAGAUGGCAGGUCGGAGAUUUCACGUUACGAGCAAAUAAAAUAAAUGCAAACAAAGUAAAAGAAGUAUUCGCAAACAUGUUUGGUACUCGCCAAGCUGUUGCUUUUGCCUAAUUUAAUAAUAGGGAAUACACUUCAAUUUAACUUUACCUAAGGGUUAAGUUGAGGUUCAUUUUAUUAGGUUAUAGCUAUUAUUUGUCUAGAUAAUAGAAAGAAUAAUCAGACUGGUAUAUUACUUUUUUCGUUAACUAUAUAGGUAAUAUAUAAGAAAGAUUAGUUAACUAAACUUGUAGAGGUUUAUGUAGCUUUGUUUUCGGACAGGAGUUCGAUUCUCCUCAACUCCACCA